rnacentral:lncRNA from 1 species
GCCCUUACCAUUUAUCAAAAUAAAAUAACGAUAACCAAAAACUUUGAAAUAAGAAAUAUUUGAUUUCUUAUUUUUGUAAAACUCAUAGAAGAUUUUCUUUAAAAUAGGUGUAAUCAAUGCUUGAUUAAGCAUAUGGUAUAUAAUGUUUAUAGCUUCCACUCAAAAAUCUUUGGUAAGUUAUUUUCACAAUGCAUGGUCC